rnacentral:rRNA from 1 species
UACGUAGGGCGCAAGCGUUGUCCGGAAUUAUUGGGCGUAAAGAGCUCGUAGGCGGCUUGUCACGUCGGAUGUGAAAGCCCGAGGCUUAACCUCGGGUCUGCAUUCGAUACGGGCUAGCUAGAGUGUGGUAGGGGAGAUCGGAAUUCCUGGUGUAGCGGUGAAAUGCACAGAUAUCAGGAGGAACACCGGUGGCGAAGGCGGAUCUCUGGGCCAUUACUGACGCUGAGGAGCGAAAGCGUGGGGAGCGAACAGG